GCACUGCUGAGUGGCAGGCGUAGCUAUGCCAUUGAUUUUUUUCGUGGCUAUGCCAUUGCUUCAAUCUUUGAUUUUUUGGUCUUUGAUUUUUGGGUCUUUGAUUUUUCAGUCUUUGAUUUUUCAGUUUUUAAUUUUUCAGUCUUUGAGUUUUUGGUCUCUGAUUUUUGGGUCUUUGAUUUUUAGGUUUUUGAUUUUUGGGUUUUGGAUUUUUCAGUCUUUGAUUUUUUGGUUUUUGAUUUUUGGAUCUUUGAUUUUUCGGUCUUUGAUUUUUCAGUCUUUGAUUUUUCAGUCUUUGAUUUUUUGGUCUUUGAUUUUUGUGUUUUUGAGUUUCGGUCUUUCAUUUUUGGGUCUUUCAUUUUUGGGUCUUUGAUUUUUGGGUCUUUGAUUUUUCAGUCUUUGAUUUUUCAGUCUUUGACUUUUUGGUCUUUGAUUUUUGGGUUUUUGAUUUUUCGGUCUUUGAUUUUUGGGUCUUUGAUUUUUGGGUUUUCAAUUUUUCAGUCUUUGAUUUUUUGGUCUUUCAUUUUCCAGUCUUUGAUUUUUUGGUCUUUGAUUUUUGGGUUUUUGAUUUUUCGGUCUUUGAUUUUUGGGUCUUUGAUUUUUGGAUCUUUGAUUUUUAGGUUUUUGAUUUUUUUAGUCUUCGAUUUUUCAGUCUUUGACUUUUUGGAUCUUUGAUUUUUGGGGUUCAGCGGACUUGACCGUUUUUUGUUAUGAGACAUGUUGCCGGAACAC